rnacentral:rRNA from 1 species
ACCCAAUAGAUACCCGGGUAGUCCACGCCCUAAACGAUGCGAACUGGAUGUUGGUCUCAACUCGGAGAUCAGUGUCGAAAGCUAACGCGUUAAGUUCGCCGCCUGGGGAGUACGGUCGCAAGACUGAAACUCAAAGGAAUUGACGGGGGCCCGCACAAGCGGUGGAGUAUGUGGUUUAAAUUCGAUGCAACGCGAAGAACCUUACCUGGCCUUGACAUGUCCGGAAUCCUGCAGAGAUGCGGGAGUGCCUUCGGGAAUCGGAACACAGGUGCUGCAUGGCUGUCGUCAGCUCGUGUCGUGAGAUGUUGGGUUAAGUCCCGCAACGAGCGCAACCCUUGUCCUUAGUUGCCAGCGAGUAAUGUCGGGAACUCUAAGGAGACUGCCGGUGACAAACCGGAGGAAGGUGGGGAUGACGUCAAGUCCUCAUGGCCCUUACGGCCAGGGCUACACACGUACUACAAUGGUCGGUACAGAGGGUUGCAAUACCGCGAGGUGGAGCCAAUCCCAGAAAGCCGAUCCCAGUCCGGAUUGGAGU